rnacentral:misc_RNA from 1 species
CCGAAACUAAACCGCGGUAUAUCACGCGUGCGCCGCUACCGCCAUCUGUCGGCGCGGCGCGGAGUUGCCGCAUCACCUGCCCGCCGCGAUCGUACCACCCGCCGCGACAUUUCUCCGUCGCGCUCGCACCAGUGGCACGUAGAAAUAACCUAAAAACGCUCAUCACGCACCAACCAAUCACCAAAAUAUUAUCCUUCUACACAUAAAUAACAGUGACAUUGAAUGCAAAUACGUACAAUAGUGUUAUAAACGUGACGUAACUGCGGCUCCGCUCUGGAUUAGCCUCUACAGUGCUCAAUCAUAGUGAAUUUGGCAAAUACGAAAGUUUCUAGAGGACGAAUGUUCCUUUUGGUGGGCUGUCGUCUGGCAGCCCUCAAAAUUAGUGCCAAAAUGUGGUGGUUUUUAUUUUUGUGUGUACUAAACAUAAAAACGCUUGGUGUGACUGCAUCUAAUAGUGUUGGAGCAGUAUCCAACAGUGGCGUUUGUCCGCUAAAGCAAUUCCAAUGUGCGAACGGGAGAUGCAUACCCAUAUCGUGGGUGUGCGAGGGAGAUAACGAUUGCGGCGACAACUCCGACGAAAACAUAGAAGAAUGUAAAGAGACACGCACUUGUACGUCGUCAGAAUUCCGAUGCAAGACGGGGAGGUGUAUACCGCUGUCAUGGCGAUGCGACAACGAGAAAGAUUGUACCGAUGGAUCCGAUGAAGAACCAGGAACUUGCAAAGUGGAGGCUUGCGGACCGGAGGAGUUUACGUGCAGAGGGAAGGCCGGAGAAUGUGUCCCACUUACAUGGAUGUGCGACGACAAUCCCGAUUGCUCCGAUGGAUCAGACGAGAAAGCAUGCAAUGAGACAUGCCGGUCCGACGAGUUCACAUGCGGCAACGGCAAGUGUAUUCAAAUGCGAUGGGUUUGCGACGGCGACGACGACUGUGGCGAUGACAGCGACGAGCUGAAGUGCCCGGCGCCCACUUGUCAACCGCAGUCACAUUUCUCUUGCGCCGAUGGACAUUGCAUAUCCGCCUGGUGGCAUUGCGAUGGUGAUAUCGACUGUCCUGAUGGAAGUGAUGAGACGGGUUGUGCAACCACGCCCAAGGUCAGGUCACCUUGCAUAUCUACGGAGUUUGAAUGCCACGACCGGAUGACGUGCGUGCACAAAGCUUGGGUGUGUGAUGGCGAUCGGGACUGCCCCGACGGUGGUGACGAAGCUCCAGAGCUCUGCAGAGGCAAUGUCACCUGCCGCCUCGACCAGUUCCAAUGCAAAGACCAUAGUUGUAUACCCGGAGCGCUGUACUGCAACGGAGUUCGAGAUUGUCCUGACGGCAGCGAUGAGUUUAAUUGCACGCGCACGAGGACUGUAUGCGAUAAGAAAACGGAAUUUGAUUGCGGUGCCGGCAUGUGCAUCCCUCUAUCCAAGGUCUGUGACAAGAAACCUGACUGUCCCAACUUUGAGGAUGAGCCUAGGGAUCUAUGUGACAAAAAUGAAUGCGAAAAGGAUAACGGAGGAUGUACUCAACGCUGUGUCGACACGCCUGUCGGAUACUACUGUGACUGCGAGAAAGGAUUUAAACUUGUUGAUAAUAGAACUUGUGAAGACAUAGAUGAAUGUGCUGAUCCCGGCGCGUGUUCCCAAGUGUGCAUCAAUGAGAAAGGCACGUUCAAAUGCGAAUGCCACACGGGGUACGCCAGGGACCCUCGAGACAGAACCAGGUGCAAGGCGACGGAAGGUCACCCCUCACUCCUGUUCGCUAGGCGGUUCGACAUUCGCAAGAUCAGCUUGGAUCACCACGAAAUGGUCGCCAUUGUGAAUGAUACCAAAUCUGCUACUGCGUUAGACUACGUGUUCAGAACCGGAAUGAUAUUUUGGAGUGAUGUGACCGAUGAAAAGAUUUAUAAGGCUCCAAUAGACGAAGGCACUCAACGGACUGUUGUCAUCGGCGAACAGUUGAUAACAUCAGACGGUCUUGCAGUCGACUGGAUCUACAACCACUUAUACUGGACCGACACUGGGAAGAAUCACAUCGAACUGUCAGACUUGCAGGGGAACAUGAGGAAGAUACUGAUCAGGGACCAGUUAGAAGAACCAAGAGCUAUAGCUCUCAAUCCUAUUGAUGGAUGGAUGUACUGGACUGAUUGGGGUCAGGUUCCGAAAAUCGAGCGCGCUGGCAUGGACGGAUCACAUCGGCAGACCAUUGUCUCCUACGAUGUCAAAUGGCCUAAUGGUCUAACCUUGGACCUUGUCAGAAAACGAGUGUAUUGGGUGGAUGCCAAAAUGAACACAAUAUCGUCGUGUAACUACGACGGGUCCGGCCGUCGCCUCAUUCUCUACUCAACUGACGUCCUCCGCCAUCCCUUCUCCAUCACCACCUUCGAGGACUUCGUGUACUGGACAGACUGGGACAAGACAGCUGUCUACCGCGCCAACAAAUUCAACGGGAAGGAUGUUGAAGCUAUCACUUCUACUCACACACUUCAAAAUCCGAUGGUGAUCCACGUGUACCACCCUUACCGGCAACCUGACGGCGUGAACCACUGCGCUGCUGUGAACGGUCACUGCUCCCACCUCUGCCUACCUGCUCCGAGGAUAGCGGCCAACUCUCCGCGGGUGUCCUGCGCCUGCCCUAAUGGACUGCGACUGCUUCCAGACAAUCAGAUGUGCGUCGAAGACAAUACAAUAAAACCAGAUGAGGAGGUGCAUAAAACGAGUAAUGGUUCAAAUGAAACGGUAGUAAUAGAGGAAAAACCUGUGACUAGGCAUGUCAAACUACUAAAUUCAAAACUGGUACAUUACUGUUUUGAAUGUGUGCGAUUAAACGGAAAGCUAUAUCCAUAUGGUGAAUAUACCUCGAGAAGGAUUUGUCCUUCUCGUAAAGUUGGGACACGCUAUUCUCAAAAGCGAGGACGCUACUCAAAUUCCUGAGGAACCUAAGGAGGAAGAAGCCCAUACGCUUUUGCCAACUGCGGACCAAAAAUCUGAGCCAAUGAAGGCGUACUGGGACUCAGAAAUAAGAAAGUAUAAUGAAAAGAACCAAGCUUUUAUAGACCUCUUUUUAAAAGACGAGGGCCUCAAUCGGAUACCAGAUGCAACUCAGGAACCCGUCAAAGAAUCUCAUUAUAAAUUUGAAUCACUCAGUGAAGCGUACUUGCCAGACUCGCUGAAAAUUUUUAACUUUAAUGGUGUUCCAGAACCACCGAAAACUGGAACAGGAAUCUCAAACAGCGGCCAAAACCCGAACCUCGUUGUCGGCAUUGUCGUCGGAGUACUCAUCGGUGUCAUCGUAAUUGGAGCAAUUAUCGCAGCGGUCGUGUACAAACAUUACGUGCACCAUAAUGUUACAUCGAUGAACUUUGACAACCCCGUGUACCGUAAGACGACAGAGGAUCAGUUUGCGCUCGAGAAGAAUGGCUACGCUCCGGGC